UCGUGUCUAUAGAAAAAAAAAAAAAAAAAAAACGUUAAUUAAAACCUUACAAGGAAAAAAAAAAAAAAUGUUUGCAUUAAGCAUAAAUUAACAAUUGGCAUUAUUAAUAUGGUAUAAAUAAAAUAGUUAACUUGACAAGCUAAUUUGAAUGAAGAUAUAUAAAAGAAAAAAAAAGUAUCGAUUAUGAUAAUUUUAUUGGUAGUUAAGCGCUUACCGGCUUAACCUCAACUAUAUAGUUAUCCUUUGCUCGAACAGUAAGCUUGCGCAAGUAAUAGUAUAUUUAUGAAUCUUACCCGCAUCAAGAAUCCGUUGCUUCACUGAAUGCUGCCGACCGUGCCAAAAUUGCCAAGCUUUUAUUUCGUCUUCUGGGCUUUUUUCUUCACGGAACAUUAACAUUACAACACUCUGUAUACGAUGAAUCACAUGGAUGGAAGAGCUCCAAACCCAUGGAAUGGAAUGGAACGGAAUGGAAGAAUUUGCCAGGUUCUCAACUGAACCGUCCAUUGAUAUCAAGACACCAAUAAAUUUUAUUCUUGCUGAUGUCAGCCGCCUACUGGACCAAAGUCUCUAUCCCACUCCGAGGGGAUCCAAUGUAAUAUUAAAGAGAGAUAAACUUUUCUGUCUCACCUGUGCUCUCCCACUACUACUACCUGCUUCCACUACUCAAGUGGUUCUUUGUCAGUGUGUGGAUACUUGUUGGGCAGAAACUUUACCUGCAUGUGUUGAAUCUGAGAUACCCAAGCCAGCCUCCCACCAUUCAGAGCAUGGCUUGACGACGGUCAGCUACACCGAUACUCAAAUUAAGCCGAUCCAAAAGUGCUUCCCAGCUUUAAUCAAGUUGGCAGCUUUCUGAUGUUGGACGGAUG